rnacentral:rRNA from 1 species
GACGUAGGGCGCGAGCGUUGUCCGGAUUUAUUGGGCGUAAAGAGCUCGUAGGCGGCUUGUCGCGUCGUCCGUGAAAACUUGGGGCUCAACCCCAAGCCUGCGGUCGAUACGGGCAGGCUAGAGUUCGGUAGGGGAGACUGGAAUUCCUGGUGUAGCGGUGAAAUGCGCAGAUAUCAGGAAGAACACCCGUGGCGAAGGCGGCUCUCUGGGACGGUACUGACGCUGAGACGCGAAAGCGUGGGGAGCGAACAGG